GCGUGCAGGACGAAGGCCUUCGGGUUGUAAACUGCUUUUGUACGGAGCGAAAAAGUCUUCUUUAAUACAGAGGGCUCAUGACGGUACCGUAAGAAUAAGCACCGGCUAACUACGUGCCAGCAGCCGCGGUAAUACGUAGGGUGCAAGCGUUAAUCGGAAUUACUGGGCGUAAAGCGUCCGCAGGCGGUUCUAUAAGACAGAUGUGAAAUCCCUGGGCUCAACCUAGGAACUGCAUUUGUGACUGUAGAGCUAGAGUACGGCAGAGGGGGAUGGAAUUCCGCGUGUAGCAGUGAAAUGCGU
rnacentral:rRNA from 1 species